AACGAACGCUGGCGGCAUGCCUAACACAUGCAAGUCGAACGAGACCUUCGGGCCUUUGUGCGCACGUGUGGGGGAGGCCUGGGGAGCAACCCUUAGGUUAGGAAUCACUGCCCGUGGGGGGAGUUAAUACCGGUUAGUGUCUUACGGCCAAGGAUUUAUCGCCGUUGGAUGGGCCCUGGUUGGUUUAGCCGGUUGGUAGUGUAAAAGCCUACCAUGGCGACGAUGCUUAGCUGGUCGGAGAGCAUGAUCUGCCAGACUGGGACUGCGACACGGCCGAGACUGCUACGCGAGGGAGCAGUGGGGAAUAUUGGACGAUGGGCGCAAGCCUGAUCCCGCCAUGCCGCGUAAGUGAUGAAGGCCGUAGGGUUGUAAAGCUCUUUUACCCGAGAUGAUAAUGACAGUACCGGGAGAAUAAGCUCCGGCCAACUCCGUG
rnacentral:rRNA from 1 species